rnacentral:lncRNA from 1 species
GAAUAGUCAUUGCUCUACUACUCCCUAAUCAAUGGCCCACUGCUUCUGACCUAAGAAUUAUCUCUACGGCAACUCCAUGAGUCAUGGAGAAGGCCUGGCUCUCAGGAGGGGAGGGAACACCAGGAAGGAGGGAACUGUACCUUCAGCCUGAGAUCUCUCAUCAGGGUGCAGAGGCUGAUGGGGAGCCACCAGCUUAGCCUCUCAGUUGCCAAACGAAGUAGGAACAAGAGAACUUUCAGCCAAGUGUCUCUCCACUAUUCCUCUUCAGCAAAGUUACCAGAGUCCUACACCAAACUGGACCCUCUACUUAAUGAUCGUCACUGGACCAACAAUUAAAAACUCAGGACCCAACAACCCAGAGGGAGAACACCCAUGGGUGUGAGAGGGACUGUCACGGAAAGCAGCAAUCAGAUGUCCCAGCUCUGAUGCCCAGAGAGAAGAGUCCUGGCCCACAUGCAUUUUUUCUACUCAACUGCAAUUUGUUUGACAUCAGAGUCAGUGUGGGCACCGAGCAAAAACCCAAGAAUGACUUUUAGAAAGUGCUUCACAAACCUGAGGUGAGUCAACUAGAACCGAGCAGAACAAGUAAAGACUGUUUCUCUCCAACUGCUUGCUGUAAGAAAAGCAGCCAGCCGGUAAGCUGCCAUGCUGCUGAUUCAGAACAAUCCUGGGCUCUUAGUGGCCUCCCCAGAGAAAGGCCCUGAGCUACACCUUCCCAGGGGAGUUCCUGGGAGCCUCCUGCAGCCGCAGCAGCCUGUGAUGACAUGACUUUGAUCUUUUGCUCUAGGAAAUCAGGCUUGACAAAGGACUAGGACAAAGGAGCUUGUGUACUCCUCUGCCCUGGAUCCAAGACCAGAGGUUACAAAAUGAGGUAAAUACUUGCAGAGAGUAAAUACUGUGUAGGGUAAGAAUUUUGAAAUACUCCAUGUGAACGAUAUAAGAGGAAAAUAAAAGGUGUUGGGGGAAACUCCAUCACCCCAUAGCACA